rnacentral:rRNA from 1 species
AGAGUUCGAUCCUGGCUCAGGAUGAACGCUGGCGGCGUGCUUAACACAUGCAAGUCGAACGAGAAAUGGAGACGGAAACCUUCGGGCGGAAGGCUUCAUUUCGAGUGGCGGACGGGUGAGUAACGCGUGGGUAACCUGCCUCAUACAGGGGGAUAACAGUUGGAAACGACUGUUAAUACCGCAUAAGACCACAGCACCGCAUGGUGCAGGGGUAAAAACUCCGGUGGUAUGAGAUGGACCCGCGUUCGAUUAGCCAGUUGGCGGGGUAACGGCCCACCAAAGCGACGAUCGAUAGCCGAUCUGAGAGGAUGACCGGCCACAUUGGGACUGAGACACGGCCCAAACUCCUACGGGAGGCAGCAGUGGGGAAUAUUGCACAAUGGGGGAAACCCUGAUGCAGCGACGCCGCGUGAGUGAAGAAGUAUUUCGGUAUGUAAAGCUCUAUCAGCAGGGAAGAAAAUGACGGUACCUGAGUAAGAAGCCCCGGCUAACUACGUGCCAGCAGCCGCGGUAAUACGUAGGGGGCAAGCGUUAUCCGGAAUUAUUGGGCGUAAAGAGUGCGUAGGUGGUUACCUAAGCGCAAGGUUUAAUUUAGAGGCUCAACCUCUACUUGCCUUGCGAACUGGGCUACUUGAGUGCAGGAGGGGAAAGCGGAAUUCCUAGUGUAGCGGUGAAAUGCGUAGAUAUUAGGAGGAACACCAGCGGCGAAGGCGGCUUUCUGGACUGUAACUGACACUGAGGCACGAAAGCGUGGGUAGCAAACAGGAUUAGAUACCCUGGUAGUCCACGCCGUAAACG